GCGGAUCCCCGAGCUGCGCGGCCCGACUCGAGUCCGCCAUAUUGGAUGCCGCAGCCGCUGCUGCCAGCGCUUCCUCCUCUGUCUUCGCCGAGCGGGGCUGGUUCCUGCGGCCCGAGCGGCGGGGAGCGCCCCCUCCUCGCGGCCACGCAGCAGCCCGCGUCUCGCUCUCCCCACCCAGUGCAGUGGCCGCCGCCUCUUCCGCCGCCGGGCUCGGGGCCUCCGCAGCGACAACAUGGAGGCCGUGAAGACCUUCAAUAGCGAGUUGUAUUCCCUGAAUGACUAUAAACCACCCAUUUCGAAAGCGAAAAUGACCCAAAUUACUAAGGCAGCCAUCAAAGCUAUUAAGUUCUAUAAACAUGUGGUACAGAGUGUUGAGAAGUUUAUUCAGAAAUGUAAACCAGAAUACAAAGUACCUGGACUUUAUGUUAUUGACUCCAUUGUGCGACAAUCCCGACAUCAGUUUGGUCAAGAAAAGGAUGUGUUUGCACCCAGAUUUAGUAAUAACAUCAUUAGCACUUUCCAGAAUUUAUAUCGUUGCCCUGGGGAUGACAAGAGUAAAAUAGUGAGAGUACUAAACUUAUGGCAGAAGAAUAAUGUAUUUAAGAGUGAGAUUAUUCAGCCUCUUUUGGAUAUGGCAGCUGGGAUUCCGCCUCCAGUUGUCACACCUGUUUUGGCCA
rnacentral:sRNA from 1 species